GACGUAGGUGGCGAACGUUAUCCGGAAUUAUUGGGCGUAAAGGGUGCGUAGAUGGCCUGAUAAGUUAACAGUGGUAAAUCGAGGCUCAACCUCGUGGAAACUGAUAAUACUGUCUGGCUCGAGUACAGAAGAGGUUAACGGAAUUCCAUGUGGAGCGGUAAAAUGCAUAGAUAUAUGGAAGAACACCAAUAACGGCGAAGGCAGUUAACUAUUCUGUUACUGACAUUGAGGCACGAAAGCGUGGGGAGCAAAACGG
rnacentral:rRNA from 1 species